AAAAUAUAUAUCUUUAUUAAUCAUUUAACAUAUAAUAAUAAGACAUAAUUUUAUCAAACACUUAAAAACAAUUAUAACCAAGUAAUAACUGUGUGUAUCAUAUAAACCAAAUAGAUUAAAUCUUGAAUGUCUACCUCCUAAAACAUAAUAAAUAAACCUAUGAGAAAGACACAGCAACAGGGCUUCUCACAGAAUGGUAACCAUCAGUCCAAGUAUACCAGCCAAAAGCGUAGCUAUCCUUGUAAUACUUCUUUGCUGUGUGAGCGUCUCUUGCUCUAACUGUUAGAGUGAAGCUUCUCUUCUGCCCAACAAGAUUGAAGUACAAAAUACUUGGCGAAGCUUUAAUGGAAAUUCCCAUUGGUGGUUUGGCAGUGAAGAAGUAGACACUUUUGCUAGCACCAACAUUCGUCACACUUCUUUUAACGAUUACAGUGCCAUUAAGUUUUGGAACUGCUACAGAUGGAUAAUUCAAAUUGUAUGUUGGUUCCAACGUUGCUUUUCUGGGACAUUUAUAUUUGCCCACUCGUGGAUAUCCAUAAUUGCAAAGGUAGGCAACGUAGUCCUUAUAGGAUGCAUCAUAUACUAGACCGGGGUCUACUGCCUUGGUCGGUCGGAAGUGACCAGACCCGAAUUGGAAAGGAUCCGCAAUUUUACCUGAUUGAUCAAUUAUCGACUGACCCUUGUUGUUUUUCGUCCAGGCUGUGGUCAUUAUCGCAGAUCUUAUAGCCGCACUACUCCAUUUAGGAUGUACGGCUCUGAGAAGUGCAGCUACAGCAGAAACAUGGGGACAAGCCAUAGAAGUUCCUGAUUCAAUAUUAUAAUCCACGAUUCGAUGAUCACCCCACAAAUUUGUAGGGGAAGAUGCUCCACUCCACGCUGCUAAUAUAUUUACCCCUGGCGCUGUGAUGUCAGGCUUGAGAAUAUUAAAAUCAAGGACGUUUGGACCCCUGCUAGUGAAAGUAGCCAUGGAUGGUGCUGGUGAAUAAUGUAACACAGUCUUUGCCUCUCCAAUGAUGGCCAUUGGCUUAUCGGUAGACUUGAUGUAAUUAAGAAUCUGCAUUGCACCGUCGGCGACCACAGCAGUUGCUGGAAGAACAUGAGCAUCCACUGUUAAGUCAUUGCCAUUUUUUGGACCAUUUCCUAAGACAAAACCAGCACCACCAGCUCUUUUCACCUCUAUGCCUUUUCCAACUCUCAUUCCAAGCCCUCUAAUGCACAACACUAUCUUCCCAUUUACCUUCUCAGGAGAAAGGGAAUUAGGGAGGCAUUGGUCCGAUUCAUUCUUGGGAACUCCCGGGGCAACAACAUCUGCUGCAUACACUAAUGGAUGCAUUUUGUCUAGCUUGUAUGGAGUAGCAGUUUGUCCCUUAAAUCAAAACCAUAUCAAUGGAUGAAAUGGAAUACAACAGAAAACCAAAACAUAAAAAAGAAACAUUCGUACCAUAAUUUUCUUGCCAUUUCCAAGCACAAUAGGUCCCCAAAAAGCACGGUCGACGCUGCUAGCACCGACUGUAAUAAUCCAAGGAGCAGGAUUGGACAAGGUACUCGGAGCAGGACCUGAGUUACCAGCAGAACAAGAAACCACAAUGUUGUUUUUAACAGCAUGUAAGGCGCCAAAGGCAAUUCCAUCAUUGUCGUAAGUCAAUGGCUCAGUGCUGACAAUGGAGAUGCUUAAUACAUGGAUUCCAUCCUUUAUGGCGUCGUCUAUGGCUGCCAUCAUAUCUUCUUCGAAACAUGUGUUGCCUUCUGCUUUUUCUUGAUCAGGAAUCGCCCAACAUGCCUUGUAUAUGGCUAGGUGUGCUAAUGGUGCUCCGCCUGAGGCAGUUCCACUGGCGAAACCACCGUAGGCUGCGGCAUCAUGCACCCGCCUCCCGGCAACCGUGGAGGCCGUGUGAGUUCCGUGGCCGUCCAUGUCACGCGGUGAUAGGGAGUCCUCGGUGGCAUUAAGUUUAUUGUAGUAUUUCAAGUACCCCUUAAUGUAGUAUCUAGCUCCGAUAAUUUUCUUGUUACAGUGAGAUGAGUUAAAAGCAACCCCACUUUGGCAGAUUCCUUUCCAUGAUUUUGGAAUGGGUCCCAUACCUUCAUCACUGAAACUCUUUGAUUCUGGCCACACACCGCUAUCCAAAACCCCCACAAUCACAUUUUUGCCAAAUCCAGCCUUCGAUGGCAAUUCUCUUUUCGUGAUAGGGUGAUGUUUCGAGUAGUGCUCCUCUCCCUCGUCCAAGCCUACAAAUUGCCAUGACCUUGUAGUCUGCGUUGAGUACUUUCCUGGCUUGGAUUCAUAAACUGAAACCACUUCUUCCAACUCUGUGGCCAGAUUAUUUCAGAAGUGCGCACGUGAGAUAGAAAGGAAAAAAAGAGAGAUUACAAGCACAACCCAUGAAAUAAUUUUCUGUACCAGACAGUUUGGAGGCUUCCUCAGGGGUUAGCAAUGCUGCCAGACCAUUGAUGCUGUGCUUGUAGCUGUAGAUAAGAGAAUCUCUAGCUUCUUCCUCAGUUUCUUUCACUGAGUUCAAAUAUGAGAGAUGAAUUUCUUCUAUCUCAGCAUGUGUUUUCUCUCCAGUAUGCUCUCCAAAGUACACUAUGUAGCUCUGUGAUUCAAUUUAGAACACAACACUAUAUAUAUAUGUGAGUGUUUGUGAUUAAAACAUUCUCAAAAAAUAGAAAACAAUGCCAAACCAAACCAAACCUUUUUCUCUGCACAUGAAGCUAAGAGAGGCAGAAGAAGAAGAAGGAAAGUAAAAAAUAACUUCAUGGUCCCUGAUACUGAUUGCACAAGAGCAAUCUUGAAGAGAUUUUUGGUUAUUUAUAUGAUCUCAGUUUAUGGAAAUCUUAAUAAAAUUGAAAAAGCCUCUAUCUCCAAUUGCAUGUGUGGCCCCAUUUUUAGAGUAAGGAAAAUAUUAUAUCUUUGUUGUAUUUGGAAAAAAAAAAA
rnacentral:misc_RNA from 1 species